CGUAGGUGGCAAGCGUUGUCCGGAUUUAUUGGGUUUAAAGGGUGCGUAGGCGGCUUUGUAAGUCAGUGGUGAAAUAUGGCAGCUUAACUGUCAAGGUGCCAUUGAUACUGCAGAGCUUGAGUACAGAUGAGGUAGGCGGAAUUGACGGUGUAGCGGUGAAAUGCUUAGAUAUCGUCAAGAACACCUAUAGCGAAGGCAGCUUACUAAGCUGUAACUGACGCUGAGGCACGAAAGUGUGGGGAUCAAACAGG
rnacentral:rRNA from 1 species